GUCGCCGAAGCCUCGCGAGAAGUCGGUGCCGCGAGCUUCGCGGCCGGCGGAGAGCGACCCUUACACUCGCGCGGGCCGGGGGACCCGCGACGCCACCUUCAGCGUAGCGGUCCGGUGGUUCGGCCCGGGAAGAGCCUGGAAGAGACAGCGGAUCCCGGCUGCUCCCCGGCCCCGAACCCCCAGCCCAACCACGCAGUCAUAAAUAAUCGCGCCGGCCCGGCAACACCUGGCUACGCGACAGCGCGACACCGCGGGCACAGCCAAGUCAGCGGAACUGAGGCGCGGCCGAGUGCGGGGCUGCCGGACGCCCCAGGCUGUCUUGAGGCCCGCGCCGCUGCUACGGGCGGGGUGGGUCUCUGAGCAGGGGUCAGCGCCCCUCUGGGACACUCACAUCCCCUAACGGUCUCCUGACCUCAGGAAACUCAAGGUCCUGACUCAAGGUCGUGAACGAUAUGCAACUGUUAUCUUCACAUAUACGACACGAGUGAGGAUGAUCUCAAAUCUUAUGUUCGGAAACCUGCAAACCUCGGACCACCACAUCAAGGGAAAUGAAGUGAACCUUUCACUUGAUGACAAGACUUUGUAGAAAACCACUAAAUUAGCUACUCUAACAUCAUCAUGCAGGUGCAUGGGUCUCCUUGAACAAAUUAUUCCAGAGUAAGAUGGCCUGUUCCUCCAUCAUUCCAGUGUUAUACCAGGAAACCAGGUUUGAUUAGGAUUUCAUUGUGUGUAGUAUUUGUUUCAGGGUGUAUGCUUUGAUCAAAAUCUAUGUAAUGAAGACCUAUACUCCAUGAUAUCUAGAAUUAAUCAUUGAACUAUGUCUAUGGCUAAACCCAAAUGUUACACUGAUUUACUUAUUAAACACCUAUUUGCCUGUGAA